rnacentral:rRNA from 1 species
AGCGAACGCUGGCGGCAGGCCUAACACAUGCAAGUCGAACGAAGUCUUCGGACUUAGUGGCGGACGGGUGAGUAACACGUGGGAACGUACCUUUUGGUUCGGAACAACUCAGGGAAACUUGGGCUAAUACCGGAUGAGCCCUUAGGGGGAAAGAUUUAUCGCCGAAAGAGCGGCCCGCGUUAGAUUAGCUAGUUGGUGAGGUAAAGGCUCACCAAGGCUACGAUCUAUAGCUGGUCUGAGAGGAUGAUCAGCCACACUGGGACUGAGGCACGGCCCAGACUCCUACGGGAGGCAGCAGUGGGGAAUCUUGCGCAAUGGGCGAAAGCCUGACGCAGCCAUGCCGCGUGAAUGAUGAAGGUCUUAGGAUUGUAAAAUUCUUUUACCAGGGACGAUAAUGACGGUACCUGGAGAAAAAGCCCCGGCUAACUUCGUGCCAGCCGCCGCCGUAAUAC